GGGCUGCUCCUAGUACGAGAGGACCGGAGUGGACGCAUCACUGGUGUUCGGGUUGUCAUGCCAAUGGCACUGCCCGGUAGCUAAAUGCGGAAGAGAUAAGUGCUGAAAGCAUCUAAGCACGAAACUUGCCCCGAGAUGAGUUCUCCCUGAGACUUAAAGUCUCCUGAAGGAACGUUGAAGACGACGACGUUGAUAGGCCGGGUGUGUAAGCGCAGCGAUGCGUUGAGCUAACCGGUACUAAUGAACCGUGAGGCUUAACCUUACAACGCCGAAG
rnacentral:rRNA from 1 species